AGCCAGAAAUGGCAGGCCGGGACCUUUCGAGGUUGUAGAGCCACCGAAGAAGAAGAAGAAGUACUGAGUGUAGUGAUCGUGAUAUACAGGGUGUUCGAGAUAAAUUUGACACCUGGAUUUUGGGUGUAUAUCUCAGGGUUGAGUUGACGUAUCGAAAUGAAUGAUAUGUCAUUCGAUUGCUAAAAGUUGUGCGAACAAGUGUAAAAAAUGUCUCGCUCCAUAAAUAUGUGGAACCCGUCCGAAUUGUACAAGCGCGUAACGUGUGUUAUGAAGUUUCGUGCCGGCCAUACGAAUGCCGAAAUUCGGAAGGCGGCGAUGUGUUCGCUGAACACCGUAUAAACAAUACGCGUACAGCUCGAGGAGUGUGGUGAAGACGUGGAUAGUGUUAUUGUUCGCAAACAGCAUAGCAGGCGGUCGGAUUGUGUGCGGACCGACGCGUUCCUGGCCGGAUUGCCCUGGCACGAGACGGACCCUGGCGCGAGACGUUGGCGUGGCCCCGAGCACUGUCAAGGUGGCGUUAAAUGAGGACCUGCGGUACGCGUCGUACAAGCGACGUAGGGGACAGCUCAUAACAGAAAAAACGCGCGAAAAGCGGCUUGCCAACGCUAAGCGCUUGCUGAGCUGGCUGAAGCACCCGGCGCAGCCAGGCACGUUGUGGUUCUUCUCUGACGAGAAGAACUUUUGUUAAGACCAGAAGCACAACGUACAGAACAACCGCUGGCUCGCUUACUGUGGUGCUGAUGUGCCCCGUGUGCCGCAGACUAAGUUUCCUCAGACGGUGAUGGUGUUCGGGUGCGUCUUGUCGGAGGGAGACGUGAUGCCGCCUCACAUCUUCCCCCAGGGCCUGCGGCUGAAUGCUGACGGGUACAUUGACCUGCUGGCCACCGUGGUGAAGCCGUGGAUUGAGAUGGUGGCAGGUACGUUUGGCAGCAGGAUUCUGCACCAUGCCAUACGGCCGUCAAAACACGCCAAUGGCUCACUGCCAAUUUCGACCGAUUCGACCAGCACCGACGUUUGGCCACCCAGCUCCCCUGACUUUAAUCCUAUGGAUUACUUUGUCUGAGACACAGUUGAGCGGGACAUCAACAGGGCGUCCUGCAAUACCAAAGCGGAGCUGGUGGCCAGAAUAAAGGCCAUGUUUGCAGCCAUCCCCAGAGACAUGGUUGUCCAGGACGCAGAGGGGGGGUAGUUCGAAUAAAAAAUGCGGCAAACAUGGUCUUUUGUAUGGGCCAUUAUGGAGCCGGAUGGGAUUUGAACUCCGGUAAUGCUGUGUGAUGACUGAAAUCAAUUUCACGAAGUAUUAGAUUAGUAACAAAUUUAUCUUCUGUUGAUUGUGUUAAUGAACGAACCUGGAUUCGAUCUCGAGCUCUCGGUAGAUUGUGGCUAGUGGCGUCAAUAUCCACGCUGCAGGGCUGGGCAUCGAAUCCCGUCCAAACUACCUCUCAGUACUAAUUACUUCCCAGUUUCAGAUAAAAUUAAGUCAAAGAAGCUAAAAACGAUAGGCCAAGACCACUCAAGUUUGCAACACACGUGACACUGAACAACCCAAUACAAUUCAAUGAGUGCGUUUCUACGUUUACCUCCUCCAUUUCCCUGCCCGAUUGUUAGCUCCUUUGCCCGUUGUCGCAAGUUCUUAAUGUCUCGGCGUGCACGGGUAAAGGAAUAAAAUUUCGUGCUCCCAAAUAGGCUGACCCACGCUGACAGAACGCAGAAAAGUCCGCUCAACUUUCCGCAGGUGGCAGUGCUCAACGCGCGUUUGCGUCCCUCCCCAAACGGCAAAGGGUUUGGCGUCCGUGGCUCAUUGCAAGUCCGGUGCAAGCGCGAUGACUCGGACGCCCUUGGGGUGCAGGAAGCGUGGGACGCAUGUUUAUGUGUUUCUUGCCGCCUACCGUGGUGGUUGGAGGUGAUGCCCGGCGGUAUGUAUACCUGUUGUACGUAACAAUGUACUAUAAAUUAUCAUUUGAUUUUGAUUGUUGAAUUCCCUGGCCCGGGCAAAACCUGAG